rnacentral:rRNA from 1 species
UACGUAGGGUGCAAGCGUUAAUCGGAAUUACUGGGCGUAAAGCGUGCGCAGGCGGCUUUGCAAGACAGAUGUGAGAUCCCCGGGCUUAACCUGGGAACUGCAUUUGUGACUGCAUGGCUGGAGUGCGGCAGAGGGGGAUGGAAUUCCGCGUGUAGCAGUGAAAUGCGUAGAGAUCCGGAGGAACACCGACGGCGUAGGCAGCGCCCUAGACGAGACCUGACGCUCAGGCACGAAAGCGCGGGGAGCGAACAGG